rnacentral:rRNA from 1 species
CCAGACUCCUACGGGAGGCAGCAGUGGGGAAUAUUGCACAAUGGGGGGAACCCUGAUGCAGCGACGCCGCGUGGGCGAGGAAGUAUUUCGGUAUGUAAAGCCCUAUCGGCAGGGAAGAAGAAAUGACGGUACCUGAAUAAGAAGCACCGGCUAAAUACGUGCCAGCAGCCGCGGUAAUACGUAUGGUGCAAGCGUUAUCCGGAUUUACUGGGUGUAAAGGGGGCGCAGACGGCAGCGCAAGCCAGGAGUGAAAGCCCGGGGCCCAACCCCGGGACUGCUCUUGGAACUGCGCGGCUGGAGUGCAGGAGGGGCAGGCGGAAUUCCUGGUGUAGCGGUGAAAUGCGUAGAUAUCAGGAGGAACACCGGCGGCGAAGGCGGCCUGCUGGACCGCUACUGACGUUGAGGCUCGAAAGCGUGGGGAGCGAACAGGAUUAGAUACCCUAGUA